rnacentral:rRNA from 1 species
CUACGGGGUGCACCAGUGAGGAAUAUUGCACAAUGGGGGGAACCCUGAUGCAGCAACGCCGCGUGGAGGAUGACGCAUCUCGGUGUGUAAACUCCUUUUAUAUGUCAAGAAAAUGACGGUAGCAUAUGAAUAAGCACCGGCUAACUCCGUGCCAGCAGCCGCGGUAAUACGGAGGGUGCAAGCGGUACUCGGAAUCACUGGGAGUAAAGGACGCGUAGGCGGGUUGGAAAGUCAGGUGUGAAAUCCUACAGCUUAACUGUAGAACUUCACUUGAAACUUCUAAUCUAGAGUAUGGGAGGGGAGAUGGAAUUAGUGGUGUAGGGGUACAAUCCGUAGAUAUCACUAGGAAUACCUAAAGCGAAGGCGAUCUCCUGGAACAUUACUGACGCUAAGGCGUGAAAGCGUGGGGAGCAAACAGGAUUAGAUACCCUUGUAGUC